rnacentral:rRNA from 1 species
CUAACUACGUGCCAGCAGCCGCGGUAAGACGUAGGACGCAAGCGUUAUCCGGAUUUACUGGGCGUAAAGCGCCUGUAGGCGGUCAAGUAAGUCGGAUGUGAAAGCCCCGUGCUCAACGCGGGGAAGCCAUUCGAUACUGCGUGACUAGAGAACGGCAGAGGGAAACGGAAUUUCUGGUGUAGCGGUAAAAUGCGCAGAGAUCAGAAAGAACACCGAUGGCGAAGGCAGUUUCCUAGGCCGCAUCUGACGCUGAGAGGCGAAAGCUAGGGGAGCAAACAGGAUUAGAGACCCUGGUAGUCCUAGCUGUAAACGAUGGAUGCUAGGUGUGGGCCGGAAAGGUCCGUGCCGUAGUUAACGCGAUAAGCAUCCCGCCUGGGGAGUACGGCCGCAAGGCUAAAACUCAAACGAAUUGACGGGGACCCGCACAAGCAGCGGAGCGUGUGGUUUAAUUCGAUGCUACGCGCAGAACCUUACCUGGGCUUGACAUGUAGGUGGUAGUGAAGUGAAAGCGGAGCGACCCUUCGGGGAGCCUACACAGGUGCUGCAUGGCUGUCGUCAGCUCGUGCCGUGAGGUGUCGGGUUAAGUCCCGUAACGAGCGCAACCCUUGUCCUUAGUUACAAGUGUCUAAGGAGACUGCCGGUGACAAACCGGAGGAAGGUGGGGAUGACGUCAAGUCAGCAUGGCCCUUAUGUCCAGGGCGACACACACGCUACAAUGGUCGGUACAAUGGGCAGCGCUGCCGCGAGGUGAAGCGAAUCCCAACAAAGCCGAUCCCAGUUCGGAUUGCAGGCUGCAACCCGCCUGCAUAAAGCCGGAGUUGC